rnacentral:rRNA from 1 species
GACGAACGCUGGCGGCAGGCCUAACACAUGCAAGUCGAACGAGUGGCGGACGGGUGAGUAAUGUCUGGGAAACUGCCCGAUGGAGGGGGAUAACUACUGGAAACGGUAGCUAAUACCGCAUACCAUCGGAUGUGCCCAGCUGGGAUUAGCUAGUAGGUGGGGUAACGGCUCACCUAGGCGACGAUCCCUCGCUGGUCUGAGAGGAGGACCAGCCACACUGGAACUGAGACACGGUCCAGACGCCUACGGGAGGCAGCAGUGGGGAAUAUUGCACAAUGGGCGCAAGCCUGAUGCAGCCAUGCCGCGUGUAUGAAGAAGGCCUUCGGGUUGUAAAGUACUUUCAGCGAGGAGGCGUUACUCGCAGAAGAAGCACCGGCUAACUCCGUGCCAGCCGCCGCGGUAAUUC